GAUGAAGAACGUAGCGAAAUGCGAUACUUGGUGUGAAUUGCAGAAUCCCGUGAACCAUCGAGUCUUUGAACGCAAGUUGCGCCCGAAGCCAUUAGGCCGAGGGCACGCCUGCCUGGGCGUCACACGUCGUUGCCCCCCCCAUCUACUCCUUCGGGAUUGCGGGGGGCGGAUGAUGGCCUCCCGUGUGCCUCGCCGCGCGGUUGGCAUAAAUGCCAAGUCCUCGGCGACGCACGCCACGACAAUCGGUGGUUGCGAAACCUCGGUUGCCCGUCGUGUGCGGUCGUCGCGCAUCGAGGGCUCGAAAAAAUUGCCGGGUUCCGGCUCGGCUUUCAACGCGACCCCAGGUCAGGCGGGAUUACCCGCUGAAUUUAAGCAUAUCAAUAAGCGGAGGA
rnacentral:misc_RNA from 1 species